AUUGAACGCUGGCGGCAGGCCUAACACAUGCAAGUCGAGCGGAGCGGCGGACGGGUGAGGAAUGCCUAGGAAUCUGCCUGGUAGUGGGGGAUAACGUCCGGAAACGGGCGCUAAUAUCGCUUACUAUCAGCUGCGCCUAGGUCGGAUUAGCUAGUUGGUGGGGUAAAGUCCUACCCAGGCGACGAUCCGUAACUGGUCUGAGAGGAUGAGCAGUCACACUGGAACUGAGACACGGUCCAGACUCCUACGGGAGGCAGCAGUGGGGAAUAUUGGACAAUGGGCGAAAGCCUGAUCCAGCCAUGCCGCGUGUGUGAAGAAGGUCUUCGGAUUGUAAAGCACUUUAAGUUGGGAGGCGUUACCAGCAGAAUAAGCACCGGCUAACUCCGUGCCAGCAGCCGCGGUAAUUC
rnacentral:rRNA from 1 species